rnacentral:tRNA from 1 species
GCCCUGGUAGCUCAGAGGAUAGAGCACCGGUUUCCUAAACCGGUGGUCGUGGGUUCGAAUCCCGCCCAGGGUA